GUGCCAGCAGCCGCGGUAAUACGUAGGGGGCGAGCGUUGUCCGGAAUUACUGGGCGUAAAGGGUGCGUAGGCGGCUUGUUAAGUUGGAUGUGAAAUACCCGGGCUUAACCUGGGGGGUGCAUUCGAUACUGGCAGGCUAGAGUGCAGGAGAGGGAAGCGGAAUUCCUAGUGUAGCGGUGAAAUGCGUAGAUAUUAGGAGGAACACCAGUGGCGAAGGCGGCUUUCUGGACUGUAACUGACGCUGAUGCAC
rnacentral:rRNA from 1 species